CCUACGGGGUGCUGCAGUGGGGGAUAUUGCACAAUGGGGGAAACCCUGAUGCAGCGACGCCGCGUGGGUGAAGAAGCGCCUCGGCGCGUAAAGCCCUGUCAGCAGGGAAGAAAAUGACGGUACCUGAAGAAGAAGCCCCGGCUAACUACGUGCCAGCAGCCGCGGUAAUACGUAGGGGGCAAGCGUUAUCCGGAUUUACUGGGUGUAAAGGGGGCGCAGACGGCGAUGCAAGCCAGAAGUGAAAGCCCGGGGCCCAACCCCGGGACUGCUCGUGGAACUGCGUGGCUAGAGUGCAGGAGGGGCAGGCGGAAUUCCUGGUGUAGCGGUGAAAUGCGUAGAUAUCAGGAGGAACACCGGUGGCGAAGGCGGCCUGCUGGACUGCAACUGACGUUGAGGCCCGAAAGCGUGGGGAGCAAACAGGAUUAGAUACCCUAGUAGUC
rnacentral:rRNA from 1 species